CGAGCGGUAGAAGAUCUUCGGAUCUUUGAGAGCGGCGUACGGGUGCGGAACACGUGUGCAACCUGCCUUUAUCAGGGGGAUAGCCUUUCGAAAGGAAGAUUAAUACCCCAUAAUAUAAUGAGUGGCAUCACUUAUUAUUGAAAACUCCGGUGGAUAGAGAUGGGCACGCGCAAGAUUAGAUAGUUGGUGAGGUAACGGCUCACCAAGUCCAUGAUCUUUAGGGGGCCUGAGAGGGUGAUCCCCCACACUGGUACUGAGACACGGACCAGACUCCUACGGGAGGCAGCAGUGAGGAAUAUUGGACAAUGGGUGAGAGCCUGAUCCAGCCAUCCCGCGUGAAGGACGACGGCCCUAUGGGUUGUAAACUUCUUUUGUAUAGGGAUAAACCUUUCCACGUGUGGAAAGCUGAAGGUACUAUACGAAUAAGCACCGGCUAACUCCGUGCCAGCAGCCGCGGUAAUACGGAGGGUGCAAGCGUUAUCCGGAUUUAUUGGGUUUAAAGGGUCCGUAGGCGGAUCUGUAAGUCAGUGGUGAAAUCUCAUAGCUUAACUAUGAAACUGCCAUUGAUACUGCAGGUCUUGAGUAAGGUAGAGGUAGCUGGAAUAAGUAGUGUAGCGGUGAAAUGCAUAGAUAUUACUUAGAACACCAAUUGCGAAGGCAGGUUACCAUGUCUUAACUGACGCUGAUGGACGAAAGCGUGGGGAGCGAACAGGAUUAGAUACCCUGGUAGUCCACGCCGUAAACGAUGCUAACUCGUUUUUGGGGCUUUAAGCUUCAGAGACUAAGCGAAAGUGAUAAGUUAGCCACCUGGGGAGUACGUUCGCAAGAAUGAAACUCAAAKGAAUUGACGGGGGCCCGCACAAGCGGUGGAUUAUGUGGUUUAAUUCGAUGAUACGCGAGGAACCUUACCAAGGCUUAAAUGGGAAUUGACAGGUUUAGAAAUAGACUUUUCUUCGGACAAUUUUCAAGGUGCUGCAUGGUUGUCGUCAGCUCGUGCCGUGAGGUGUUAGGUUAAGUCCUGCAACGAGCGCAACCCCUGUCACUAGUUGCCAUCAUUCAGUUGGGGACUCUAGUGAGACUGCCUACGCAAGUAGAGAGGAAGGUGGGGAUGACGUCAAAUCAUCACGGCCCUUACGCCUUGGGCCACACACGUAAUACAAUGGCCGGUACAGAGGGCAGCUACACAGCGAUGUGAUGCAAAUCUCGAAAGCCGGUCUCAGUUCGGAUUGGAGUCUGCAACUCGACUCUAUGAAGCUGGAAUCGCUAGUAAUCGCGCAUCAGCCAUGGCGCGGUGAAUACGUUCCCGGGCCUUGUACACACCGCCCGUCAAGCCAUGGAAGUCUGGGGUACCUGAAGUCGGUGACCGUAACAGGAGCUGCCUAGGGUAAAAC
rnacentral:rRNA from 1 species